CUCUCUAUUUGGGUGCUAACUGCCAACACUACCUCAUAAACAGUGCCAUGUUCCUGAGCUUGCUUGUGUGACAGUAUCAAAAAACCUUACCAAGAAGGAAUGACAUUUGCUGCUCCACCUUUCUUCCUUGUAGAAGGAAAUGGAAGACUUGACACAACUUGUACUUGCCAAAGACCAGCUGCCUUCUGCUAUUUUUCAGGUCCUGCAUACCAGUAACAGACUGAAAUCAAAACAACUUUCCUAGCUGCUUAUUGCAACAUAUUCUGGUUUGCUUGUUAAUGUAAAUGCUUCAAUACCAUCACUUGUGCCAAUUUCUAUGAAGUCAAAGAGCUCCAAGUGUGGCU